GCCCCGGUAGCACAACUGGAUAGUGCAACACCCUUCUAAGGUGAAGAUUACAGGUUCGAGUCCUGUCCGGGGUA
rnacentral:tRNA from 1 species